GGGACACAGAGCCCUGGGGAGCCCAUUGCUCAGGAGGGAGCAGCUCCGGAUCCCUGUGCCCCAACAAUGUCAGAUGCAGAGGAGGGCAGGUGAACCCCAAUUCUCAGCCCCCCAGCCCCUGGCCUGGCUGCCUGCACAACCUCAUGGGCAGUGGCUGGGGGCAGGUCAGUGACCCUGUGGGACACUGAGGAGGAGGGGACCUUUGCCCACAUGGACAAAGACUGGGAAUAUGACACGGAUCAAGAGCUUUCCCAAUGGAGAGGUGCUACCAGCCAAGAGUUUUGCCUUUGGGAAGAAGUGACAGUCCAAGAGUAUUACCAACAAGACGUGAGGAUCCAGGACGUUUCCCCACGGGGAGCGGUGAGACGCCGAGAGCUGCACCAGAGGGAGGUGAGUGUGAGAGUCCAGUGGGGAGAUGGCACACAGCAAGAGCUGUACCAGUGGGAAGAAAGUGUGACAAUCCAGGAGUCGUACCAACCGGACAAAGAGGAUGAGACACACCAAGAGCUGUCCCAGCGGGAAGGGCAGGCAUACCAGGAACUGUCUCCUUUGGAAGAAGUGCGAGGCCAUCCCCAAACGUUCCAACGGGAAGGAGACAGGGGAAUCCCAGAGUUGUCCCAAGUGGGAGACAACAGGGACAAGGACCUAUCACAAGGAAAAGACUACAAUGUCCAGGAGCUGCCCCAAUGGGAAAAAGACAGGAGCAGCCAAAAGCUGCCCCAACGGGAAGGAGGUGUCAGCAGCCAGGGGCUGUCCCACUGGGCAGAAGGCAUCAAUUACAAGAUACAGGACAAACCCUUGCACCCAGAGAAGGAUGAGAAUGCCCAAGCUUGUGCCCAGGAGGGCCCUGGCUCUACCAGCAGUAUGGGCACCGAGGUGGCAGGAGAGGCAGCCCAUGAGCUGCCCAGCACCUCUUCUGCCCUGCGGAGUCCCAUGGAGGAUGAGCUGGCAGCGGCUGCUGCCCCAGCAGGAGCUGCUGAGGAGGAAGAGCCCCUUGAGCCUCUGCCUGCCAAGCUGGAAAAGGCACCAGGUUCUCCUGCCCUCAGGGAGGAGGAGCCAUUGGCAGAGAGCCCAGUCCCUGCUCCAUGCAGCCCGGAUUCGUUGGAUUUAGCGAGGCACAUCAGCUCUGAGAUCAUGCACAAGGCUGAGUUUAUGGGAUCUGGCCAGCAGCCAGAGGAACAGAGGGACCUGGAGCAGAGCACAGCUGCUGAACUAGAAGCAGCAACUGCAGCAGGAAGAAGGAAAGAGAGCCCAAUCUCAGCCCCACAAAGCCCCUGCUUUGUGGGCUGCUGCCUCCCCUUCUCCAUCCUACUGGGCCGCCAAGCCCGCAGUGAGGAGCAGGAGGAAGCAGACAAGGGAUCAGUCCUGGCAGAGCAACAGCCUGAGGGGGAGGCCUCAGCUGAGGAGCUUGAGCAUUCUCAGUGCAAAGAUGAGGAACACACAGAGCUGUCCCAGGGAGAAAUCAACAAAUACCAACAAGGGUCCCAAGGAGAAGCCUCAACUGAGCAGGACCUGUCCCUAGAAGGAGCUGGUAGAUACCAGGACUUGUCCCCAGGGAAAGCCUGCACUGAGCAGGAACUGUCCCUAAAAGAAACCAGUAGCUACAAGGAAGGGUCUCAAGGGGAAGCCAGAAUUGAGCAAGAACUGUCCCCAGAAGAAGCAGAUAGGUACCAGGAAGGGUCCCAACGAGAAGCCAGCAGUGAGCAGGAGCUCUCCUUAGAAGAAGCCCAAAGCCACCACGAGCUCUCCGACUGGGAUGAAUGCAUCCCAGAAGAGCUGUCCUGUGGUUAUGCUGGUAGCUACCAAGAAAUUUCAGACUGGGAAGAAGGCAUGGAGCAGGACCUGUCCUUAGAAGAAGCCCAAAGCCAUCACAAACUCUCUGACUGGGAUGAAUGCACUGCAGAAGAGCUGCCCCAUGGGGAUGUUGGCAGCUACCAAGCAAUGACAGACUGGGAAGAAGGCACAGAGCAAGGCCUUUCCCAAGGACAAGUCGGUAGCUCCCAGAAUCUCUCUGACUGGGAAGAAUACAGCGAGCAUGAGCUGCCCUACGGAGACAUCAGUAGCUACCAAGAAGUGUCAGAUUGGGAAGAAUCCAUUGGCCAAGAGGUAUCCAAGAAACGUCCCUCCCGCCUGCGCCGGGCAGUGCAGAGGCUGCUCUGCUGCCCCUGCCUGGCCCCACAGCCAGAUUAGGGCUGGCUGCCAGCUCUAGCCCGGGCCCUGCAGAUGGCAGCUGCCCCACAGCCUGCCCCGCGCCCUGGGGCAGCCCCACGGGCUGGCUUUGCCUGGGAAUAUGACACGGAUCAAGAGCUUUCCCAAUGGAGAGCAAUCCCCAGCUCUGUGGAGCAUCCCAAGCUGGCCUCCCCAAGAGCAAAUAUUACCCGUGUGGCCAAACCUGCACCCCUGGGGGACACUUGGGGCCAUGGCACUCAGUGAUGAAGGCCACAGACUCACCAGGGUGGGAAGAGACCUUGAGGGUCAUCCAGUCCCACCAUCACCCUGGCACCACCUUCAUCACCCUGAAACAUGUCCCCAAGUGCCACAGCCAGAUGACACUUGACAUUUCCAGUGAUAGAGACUCCACUACCUCCCUGAGGAACUUCUUGCAAUCAAUGCCUGACCACGCUGUCAGAGAAAAAUCAUUUUGAAUAUUUCAUUGGGACCUCCCCUGGUGGAAUCCAAGGACAUUUCCUCUCAUCCUGAAAGGAUUACAAGCUGAUCCUUUGGAAUUUUAUCCAUGAGGAAUGGGCACAGACAGGUGUUGCUCCCAGGACUCCAUUGCACGCUGCAUGACUUCACCAAACACAAUUCAUCCAAAACAGAUGGAAGCUGGUUUUAGAAAUAAUAACAUUAGUAAAUAAAAACCCCAAAACAAAAACAAAACAAAAAGCCACCACCAAAACACAACCAGGAAAAAAAAAAA
rnacentral:lncRNA from 1 species